GAUGAACGCUGGCGGCAUGCCUAAUACAUGCAAGUCGAGCGAACUGAUUAGAAGCUUGCUUCUAUGACGUUAGCGGCGGACGGGUGAGUAACACGUGGGCAACCUGCCUGUAAGACUGGGAUAACUUCGGGAAACCGAAGCUAAUACCGGAUAGGAUCUUCUCCUUCAUGGGAGAUGAUUGAAAGAUGGUUUCGGCUAUCACUUACAGAUGGGCCCGCGGUGCACUAGCUAGUUGGUGAGGUAACGGCUCACCAAGGCAACGAUGCAUAGCCGACCUGUGAGGGUGAUCGGCCACACUGGGACUGAGACACGGCCCAGACUCCUACGGGAGUCAGCAGUAGGGAAUCUUCCGCAAUGGACGAAAGUCUGACGGAGCAACGCCGCGUGAGUGAUGAAGGCUUUCGGGUCGUAAAACUCUGUUGUUAGGGAAGAACAAGUACAAGAGUAACUGCUUGUACCUUGACGGUACCUAACCAGAAAGCCACGGCUAACUACGUGCCAGCCGCCGCGGUAAAAC
rnacentral:rRNA from 1 species